GCCGUGUCAACUGUAGCCAGUGGCUGCGGCUCCCUCUGUCUGGCGUCAUCUAGGGCGCUGCUCAGGAGAUUGCGGAGGCCAGUUUUCCAGUUGGCUUACGUGUUUAUCGCGUAGGGCAGAGACUUGCCAAAUUCCCGGCCAGCGGAGCGGCGAGGAUGGAGACUUAGGGGAAGUUAAACAGCCUUGUGGGCGGCCUCGCGGCUCCAAAACCAGGCUCUAGGCGGCGGCGACCGCAGCCGUUAGGGAGGCCGCCCCAGGCCGAGCAGAGGCCUGGAGGGGAAUCUUGAUCCUGGGCCAGACACCUGUCAAGAGGAGGCGGAGCGUCGUGCCUCCAGGAAGACUGGAUGAAUAUUCUCCAGGAUGAAUAUUCUCCAGGAGCCGGACGAAGGCGAAGAAGUCUUUACAGACAGAGGAAAUUGAAUGCCGUCUGAUGCCAGACCUCAGGCCUCACUGAUGCUGCAAUUGAUAUGGAUCCUUUCCUGGAUUAAAGCUUGGCUUUUAAAAAAGAUUUCAAUAAAUUGCUUAUACCUAUAAAGAGAUGCAGAAGAACCUUCAAAUCAAGCAAAGGACUUGAAGAAAGAGAAAAAAGACAUGAAGAAGAGGAUGUCAUUUAGGUGAAGGUGAUGGAUACAGAAUCUGAGUCUGAGGGGAAAUCUGACUCUGAAUCAGGAUCCGAUAAGGAGCAGGACAAGAUGGAGGAUAAGAAGCUGCCAGAAGAAAAGCCUGGACCCUCUGGCAUGGCACUCAGAGUCUUGAUAUGUCUGAAGAAACUGUCCAAGCCAUUAAUGUGAAAUUGAACCUUUGGAAUGUAAUCUUCGAAGUGAAUCUGGAGAGAGUAGAGGUGCCUGAGUUGAAGGACGAAGAGGUUCCAGAGACCAUCCUUCCCUUGUUACGCUAACAUCAUUUUCAUAACUACCAUCAUCCUUUUCAUCACCAGCCGCACAUCCCUAUCACUUUAGUCUUGUAACAAACAUUGCGCUUAAACUCUGCAGGGUCCUGAGCUAAACUUGGGGACAUCGGCUCAGGAAACAUCUCAGGAUCUGAGUUAAUGAAGACAAAGACUUCCAGGGUCUUCAUGCUGUCCAUCUGCAUCAGGCUAUACAUACUUUUGAAAUCCCAGAGGUCUUCAGUCUCCCUGUGGGUCAAGGAGAUGUGCAGUAUUUAAAGUGGAUUGAGGACGGCAUGGAAGAGGAUUGAGUGGGGAAAGCUUUUUGUGCAUUCUGCUGGCUAUCUCCAGUGGCUGCCUCCAGCCUUCAUCAACUGCACUCUGGGGAAGAGGAGGACACCUUCUACCUCCCAGCAUCUCUGGAUUCCAUGUUCCUGUCAGCACGGAGGAGCUAAAUGGCCUGUGGAGGCUGAAGGUCUGAGGCUUCUAAAGCUGGAAGAAAAGGCUGGGCCAGUCAGGCCAAGCAAGAACAUAGGGUAACUUGUCUCUGAGUGCUUCAUGGUUAAGGGGGAUAAGGGGGCAUGAGGACACGAGGAUGGUUACAUGUAGUGACUGAAGGGAAGAGGCAGUGAGGGUGAGACUUGUCAUCUUGAGUCAGUAGGCCUACCUCAAGUGCCUAGGAUGUAAUUGCUUUGCUGCUUCUCAUGGAGAGUGGCCCUAGUGACCUUGUUCACCUGGAAGAGUAUGGGAUGAAUGUCUCCUCCUACGGGGACUGGCAAGUGCUUUAUCAAAAGGAUAAAUUGCUAAUGGUGGCAUUUCAGGAUUAUUUCUCCUUGCUAAGAGGCUUUUGUUGGUCCUGAAUGCUGAGGAGUUAGGACUAGGAAUGGACUCCAUGAACCUGUGUAUGACUCAGGGAAUAUUAGGACUUUGGCACAGCCUCAUGGGUUGGGAGUAAGUCUUGGCUCUUCCCUAGCCUGAAUGACAGAUACCAGAUUGUUCUGGUGUUUUGUCAGUGAAGAUGUAGAUUCUGAGCCCACCAAACUACCCUUUUCACUUGAACAUAGAAAUAGCCCCAGGAAUCGGACAGACCUGUGUCUUUAGGUUUGUUUCAUAGAGCCCCAGGGGUUGACAGUAGUACCUUGGAGACUGCCUGCAUGGGGAUUUUUUUUAAAGUGUUCUUUGUUAAAGGUUUGUAAACCACCUCUCUCAGCCAGUUUUCAUUUUAUAAAUUACUGCAGGAAACUGAACUGCAUGGAGGUCCAGAAAGUGGGCAGUGCAGACUGUAGUGCUGGUAACUACUGUACUUCUUGGAUCUUCGUGCUCCCAAAUACCAAAUGGAAGACGAUCUCUGAGAGUCCUUUGCAAAGAUCUUGUAGGGACUUUAGGCUGGGGCCUUUGGGAAGUUCCUGAGGAUUCCAAUGGAGAUUUUGAGGGAUUGUCUUAGAAGAACAAAGAGAAUGAUAAUGGUGAUGUCCCUACUUUUUACAACAGAUCAUGUUGUGAUAUAUAUGCAAACCUGUGUAAAGUAAACCCUAUCUAAAAUGUGCUGGGGACCCAAGAUGGACUGCCUGUAUUGCUUCCAGGAUAAAAGUCCAAUUUCUAGCUCUGGUUUUUAUAACCUUGCUUCAGCUCACCUUUUCCGUCAUCAUCCCCUGCAUCUGCUCUCCCACGCUGGGAAAUGGAUGGCUCCACUAUACUGUGUGAUAUUAUUGCUAUGUUCAUGCCGUACCCUCUGCCUGGAAUGCCUUUCUGCAUGAAUGCCUGUGAAAUGUUGCUGCUCCUUUGUAUGGCCUGGCUUCCAUGGUUGGCAGGAAUCUCUUCUUUUGUGGUAUUCCUGCCAUCUUUGUGCAUCACAGUCAGCUUAGUAUUCCUAGAUUGUAAGCUACUUGAGGAUGGGGCAUGUCUUGCACCUGUUUGGCAAAUUGAUGUUUAAAGUAUUUAAAUAACUAAAGCUCUCUCUACAGUACAUAGUCACUUGUGAUUUAUGGAAUUGGCAAAAUUCAACUUUUUUCCUUGAAUAUUCUUAAAGUGAGACUAAUUCCAAAGGAGAUUUUUCUGUCUGUGGCCUUCAUUGGGUGGUUUGCUGUUAGAAAGCUUUUGGUGGCCUUCCUCUUCCCUGGUGUCAAGGUUGACUGUAAUAGGAAAUGGGACGGGAGAGGGCCAUCUCUGCCAGGCAUUGUCAUAGGUUCUUAACAUUAUUUAAUCCUUAUAAUGCAAUGUUUUCCUCACUUUACAGAUGAAACCUGAGACCAGAGAACAUGUAACAUGUAAAGUACAUGGCAGAAUUAGGAUGUGAACCCAACUCUGAUUCUAAACCUAAUGCUCUUACUCUUUCAUGCAGAGGUUCAGUCAGUUCUUUGUAGGCCAUAGAUCCAGAGAAGCUGCCGUAGCCAAAAAUAAAGUUGUUAGUUUUUAAAACAUCUAUGUGGUAAGUUGGUCUGGCACUUAAAAAUGUAUCGUUUGCCGGGCACAGUGGCUCAUACCUGUAAUCCCAGCACUUUGGGAGGCCAAGGUGGGCGGAUCACGAGGUCAAAAGAUCGAGACCAUCCUGACCAACAUGGUGAAACCCCGUCUGUACUAAAAAUUAGCUGGGUGUGGUGACACAUGCCUCUAGUCCCAGCUACUCAGGAGGCUGAGGCAGGAGAAUCGCUUGAACCCAGGAGGCAGAGGUUGCAGUGAGCCGAGAUCUUGCUACUGCACUCCAGCCUGGCGACAGAGCGACACUUCAUCUAAAAAAAAAAUAAAUGUGUUGUUUACUACUCACCACAGAUCUGCAGGAGUUCACUGAUCUCUGGGGUCUGCCUUAUUGCCAACUUAUGUGGUUUGGUCACUAUUACAAACCGUCAUCCCAGAAUGAUGAUGCAGAGGCUAGGGCUAGGACCCAGACCAGUGUUUCCGCGUGGGAAUUCCCUCCCAGUAUUUCUUCGGAAAUGUAUGUUUUUUGAAUCCAUAAACCCUAGAAAAAUCAGUUGAGGAAAUGAGAAGUAUUGUAAUUAUUCUGUGAAUACUAACACUUACCAUUAUAGAGACAUUACUAGUUUGAAAGAAUCCAACUUCAUCGAAUACUAACGUACUGAAUUGAAGGCUGUAAGAACUGAGACAGGAGUAUAGCAGAGAGAAACAGUCACCAUCUAAUUAGCCCUACUUUUGGUUGCUGUGAUGUCAUUACGUCUGUAUGUCUGGCCAUAUCAUCUGCUAAUGGUGAGUUCUUGCAAAUAAAAUGAUUUGAUAAACAACCUAGCAUACUUUAUACAAAUCUUACGAAUGGUGUUCUGAGAAAUAAACUUUGGAAGCAAAAUAA